UGCAAGUCGAACGAGAAAGUGGAGCAAUCCAUGAGUAAAGUGGCGUACGGGUGAGUAACACGUGACUAACCUACCCUUGAGUGGGGAAUAACCUCGGGAAACCGGGGCUAAUACCGCAUAACACCUUCGGGUCAAAGGAGCAAUUCGCUUAAGGAGGGGGUCGCGGCUGAUUAGCUAGUUGGUGGGGUAAUGGCCUACCAAGGCAAUGAUCAGUAUCCGGCCUGAGAGGGCGCACGGACACACUGGAACUGAAACACGGUCCAGACUCCUACGGGAGGCAGCAGUGGGGAAUUUUGCACAAUGGGGGAAACCCUGAUGCAGCAACGCCGCGUGGAGGAUGAAGUCCCUUGGGAUGUAAACUCCUUUCGACCGGGACGAUAAUGACGGUACCGGUGGAAGAAGCCCCGGCUAACUCUGUGCCAGCAGCCGCGGUAAUACAGAGGGGGCAAGCGUUGUUCGGAAUUAUUGGGCGUAAAGGGUGCGUAGGCGGUGCGGUAAGUCUUCUGUGAAAUCUCCGGGCUCAACUCGGAGCCUGCAGGAGAAACUGCCGUGCUUGAGUAUGGGAGAGGUGAGUGGAAUUCCUGGUGUAGCGGUGAAAUGCGUAGAUAUCAGGAGGAACACCUGUGGCGAAAGCGGCUCACUGGACCAUAACUGACGCUGAGGCACGAAAGCUAGGGGAGCAAACAGGAUUAGAUACCCUGGUAGUCCUAGCCCUAAACGAUGAUUGCUUGGUGUAGCA
rnacentral:rRNA from 1 species